AAAAAAAACAAACCCUGGUUUCCGUAUCCAACGUCUGACCGUCCGUCUUAUUUAAAAAAAUUAUGAAAAAAAUUAAAAAGAUAAAUCAUGUAUAAAAUAUUAAUCAUGUUUUAUCAUCUAACAACAAUAAAAAUAUUAAUUAUAAAAAAAAUUUCAUAUAAGACGGACAGUCAAACGUUGGCAAAAAAAAACUGCGGUUUGUCUUUUU
rfam:Oryza sativa (indica cultivar-group) chromosome 3, whole genome shotgun sequence.